CAAGGUUCCGGCUGGGCACCGCGCGCUAGCGAUUCUUUUUUUAGUUUCAUAAGAUGGAAACCUAAUCUCAGGGAACAUCUAGCUCAAUUGGCAUAAUAUAAUUUCUAAAGAAAAUGUUCUAGAAGCACCACACCAUCCCUCCAGCAAAGAUCUGAAAAACUAAGCCAAACAGAGAAAACAGCAAUCUUGAAAUUACAUGGAGAGGUUCCCUAUCAACUAAUGCAGCACGGAUCCGCCAUCUUGGACUCCUAUCAGAGACCAGCAAAUGGGGGUACAAGAAAGCAGCUUCAUAGAGCUUCCAGCAGGAAACAGAAGAACCGGAUAAUAUAAUGGAAGAGAUCAGUGGAAAAAUCGUCUAUAUGGCAAGAGUGCUUAAUUUGGAACUUGAUAUCAAUGAUGCGGAAAAGCUCAUAGAUCACAAAGAAGGGGAAUUGACAGAUCAGGACUUAAUGGAUUUUGAAGAGGAAAGAAAUGCAGAAGAAGAAAGAAAUAAUGAGGAAGAGGAAGGAGAGAAGUUGUCAAAAAAUUUACAGUGAAAGGAUUAGCUAAAGUUUUAAUUAAGUCAGGGGAUUCAGUUUUUGAAAACAGACCUAAAUGCUGAUCAUUUUGCUAAAGUCGAUAGGCAGAUUUGGCAGGUGUCUUAGUUAUCUAGUGCUGCUAUAACAGAAUACCAC